UGAGUUCCUCUGCUGGUCCAGGAGGGGCUCAGUGUGGUGGGACAAACUCGUUCCAUUGGUGGAUGGAGACACAGUGCGGACAGAGGCUGCAAGCGUCGGAGGGCGUGUCCAUGUGGCAGUGUUGGUGUCAUGGCCAUAAACUUGGCGCUUCCUACAGACUCCAGCCUUGCAUUUUCAGCAGCUGAAGCUGUUCACAGCAUCCUUCUCACAGGAGUUUUGGGAGCAUAACCAGUUGAGUUCUCUCCAGGAGUACGGAAUUUCCCUCUUGUUUCUGCCCACCUGAGGGGCUGCACUUGGACCCUGCCAUGGGAAGAGAUCUGUUCCUCUCUGCCUCCUGGGGGACCCCUCCUUGUGUGAGUCCCCUCUGAAGCCCUGCAGAACCUGGUCUGGGUCCUGAACAGUCCUGCCGAGGCCUGGCCUGUUGGACACAGAUGCUCAAAAUCUCCUCAGAGCACGCUGGCCCCUGUGGAGUGGCUCCUGUUCCUGGGGGGCUGAAGUGAAUGAGGGUGUUUCUCUGAUCCGUAAGAGCCUCCUGCCCAUUCAUCCAUCAACAGCCUCUGGGGACACCUUCCGCAGCAGGAAUCACUGGUGUUGGGUUGAUCUAUGAACACGAGACACAGAAACACCAGCUGGAGGAACCCAUGAGGCCCAGCGGGUGAGGUUAUCCACAGAAUAGGCACGCCGCCCUAAUCCAUGGCUCACUGAGUGCCCAGACCAGGGCUUCAGGGGGGUUCCAGCCAAGGCUUUGUGAACCGGAUCCUGGGUCACUGAGUACCCAGACUGGGCUCAGGAGGUUCUGGCUGAGGUUUUGUGAACUGGAUCCUCCUCUUUGCAUUUCAAACAGCAGGAACCAGCUUAGUCCAUGGGCCACUGAGUGCCCGCACCAGGGCCCCGGGGCUUUCUGACAGCAGAACAACAGGAGUCGUCCAAACCCUGGAGCGCAGAGGGCAGGACGGGAGAGGCCUUUGCUCCCCCACGGCAGGCCAGGGAGGUGGACAGGCUGGGAGCCUGAAGCCUGAGCAGCCGGAGGCUUGCUCGUUCUCCCAUGGUCACUGUGUUCCCGGAGCCUCAACAUGAGGCCAAUUGUCCCACGGGGCGGUGCCUGGUGGGUGUGGUGUCUUGGUGGCAGCCACUGCCUGGCUGUUCUCAGGACCCCAAUCCCAGGUGAAGGCUGCAGUCCUCUUGUUCUGUGUGUGGACGAUUCAGCUCCGUGGGUGGCCACCUUGCCAUGGGGCCAUAGCAGCCGUUCCAGAGGCUCCCCCAGUGCCCUCCUCGCCCAGGGUGGGGGUGCUCCCAGGUGUGGCCCAGCUGAGGAGUCUCACCUGCAGGAAAGGUGGCACGUGACGGCUUGCUGGCCUGCGAAGUCUGCCUGGUGGCCAUGGCUCAGGGGCCUGUGUCUCCUGGACGCCCCCAGCGGUGCCUCUCUUGAAGGGACUUUAUGCUCCUGCCAGGAGAAAACAGCCCUAACAGCUGCUUCCUGGGCCGUUUCCAAACAUUCCUGUGCCAGGUCAGAGAGCACCAGUUCUUUGCCCUUUUGGGUGGUUCCCAACUUGUGGGGUUGGGGCCCUGGCAGCUUCGAACCACCAGCCCCCUUUCACUGAGGCGUUCCUCAUCACCAAGCCUCAGCCAGAGAUGUUAAACUGGAAAAACAAUCACGGACCCCCUGGGGGGGGAAGCAGCUUCUGGUCUGGGGACAGUCAUGAGCUCUGCGUGCAGCUGCCCGUGUCCCUUCCUGGUGCCUGGCGGGUAUCAGGGCUCACCCUUGGCCUGGCCACACCUACCACCUCUCAGGCCCACGCCUCUUCCCGGAAGACACCUGGAGGCUUGAACACCGGCUCACGCCCCUUCCCGAAGAAACCUGGAGGCUUGGACGCUGGCCCAUACCCAUUUUUGGACACCGGGGGCUUCAACAUGUGUGGCGUCAGCUCCUCAGCUCUCUCUUCCCUCAGCAUCCCACUGACCCGAAAUUCCAGGAGAUCCCAAGAUGGGCCAAAAACAAAACAAGAUAACAACAAAAACACCCUCUGCAGAAAGUAGAGAGAGGAGGCUCAGGGUGAAGGUGUGAAGUGCUGUGCCCGGCACAAAGCUCAUCCAGACAGAGCAGCUCCUUCCCAUCUGAAGCUCCCAUUUUCCUACAGAAAUGAGUUCCGACAUGCACUCCACCGCUGCUCUCUCUCCACUUUGCAAAGCAGGAACUCAUGAUGUCUGAUGAGAAUCCACUCUGCUCUGGUCUGAGCUGGGACAAUCUUCGUUUGUCCUCUGCCUGUCCAACCCAGCCCUCGCCUGCAGGGCAUCUCAGAGCCCAGGACCUUCCCGGACGCUCUGCUGAGCCCAGAGCCACUUGGAUCUCAGGAACAGCAGAGGGAGGGUGGCCACAGGGUCUUAGCAGCGAACCAACAAGUCCGAGGCUGGACAUCUGAGCAGCGGGCGGUUGACAGGGUCCAUGGGCUGACCCCGCGGGCAGAGGACAGGGGUCUCUGCCUCACCCGCUUCCACUGUUCUCGGGUGCACCUGGCCAAGGCCGUCAGCAAACCGAGCCAGGCCUGUGUCCUGGUCCCCUCAUGGGCUCAUGGUCCUCCUGCCACCCUGCGAGAACACCUCCGUGCGUGCUGCCUGCAGCUCCCAGCUGCGAACGGCAGAGGCCCAGUCCUGUCCUCACACCCUCAUCCCGCCUGGCUUUGCAGCGAUGUCACCUUUGCCUGGCAACAUUCAGGCGGGGCUGCUCAGGCCUGCUGAUUCCAUCAUUUAAAGACGCCCAUUUCUUCUAAGCCAGGGAUUUUAUGACUCUAAGGAUUAGAAGCUGUCAUCCCAACCAACCCUGGAGCACUCUAUUCUGAUUUUAUGGUAAGCUUCACUAAUAAACUGUUUAAAACAUA